CCUACGAUUCCUGGAUGGAUGCCUGUUCUCCCCUCUUCUGCGCAUGCGCCGGCUGGUGGGCGCAGAGCUGGGCGGGUACUUCAGGGGUUUGACGUGUUGGGUAUUGUUUCGCCGAAGUAGAAGGCUCUUUCUUUCCUGGUCCUUUGUCUAGAGAGAGUAGGCUUUCGGGGCCAUUUUUUGUCUGAGCCUGCUGGCAUUUCCAGGUUGCUUGAAUCUCCAGCACCUAGUAUGAGAAAUAUGAAGCAAAAAGAAAACCCAGGGAACUCACUGCCGUGUCUUUCAAGUGAAGAACGUGCUGGGCCAUGGACAUCCUUCCGUGGAAAAGAUUCUUGGGGAGGUCCAAACCGGCUUUCCAGAGAAAAGAGCAUGACAGGAGGUGCUCUUGUCAAGAACUAUUUCCUGGGACCCAUCUGGGAUAUCUGACCUCUGACAGGAGGAUGACUUAAAAGAACAGAGCCCAGGGUCAGCUGCCUUCCAUUCAGAUGUCUUAGAGAUGUCAAAAGAAGGUGUUGCGUAUCUGCCAGCAUGGGGAGCACGAGGACAACUUGUCUUGCUGUUGUAGAGGAAGUGCUGUGUCAGGAUGCAGUGGGCCUGACCGAGGACUGUGGUCCAUGCAGGCACAAAAUCCUAGAUCUUCAAGCCAUCCCAACUUAAUGGAUCUCCUUCCUCGUCCCAGGGAGUUCCAGCAGCUCCUGAGCCUCUGCCAAAUGCCCCUUUUGGAACAUCAGGGACAUAAAGAUACUUUUUGCAGAGUCGAGAUUUAAAUUAUUCCUAAGUCAUUUAUUCCUCUGAAGUAUGAAUUUGAUUUUCCUAUCAAGAUUUUUUUCAGCCAACAGAUAUCUCACCAAAUAUCAUAAACCAUUUUCCCUCAUGAUAAUUGAUAAAGACCCAAUGGUUCUUUCUGAUUUGGCUGUAAGUGUCCACCUCUUCACAUACAUAAAGGAUCUUUUCAUCUGCUUUGGAGAGAUUCUUUACUUCCUUUCCUUAGUAAAUCACUGAAAGUGGACUGCUCCAUAGUCAGUUUCCUUCACUGAUGCAGCUUAGAAAUGACUUUUAAGUUUUUGCUGAAACUCUGGAAUUUCACUUCAAAACUGGACUUUUCUGACUGCAAUGAAGCCUGUGAGUUUUUAUAACAAUUUAAUAUGAUUUCUAAGUACAUUUAGUGUUUUUACUUCUUCAGAUAAUUCAGUGUAUA